rnacentral:rRNA from 1 species
GACAGAGGUGCCGAGCGUUAGGCGGAAUCACUGGGCUUAAAGCGUGUGUAGGCGGGUCGUUAAGUGUCUUGUGAAAUCCCCCGGCUCAACCGGGGAAUGGCUGGGCAUACUGGCGAUCUUGAGCAGUCUAGGGGGCAGAUGGAACAAGUGGUGGAGCGGUGAAAUGCGUAGAUAUCACUUGGAACGCCAACGGUGAAGACAGUCUGCUGGGGACUUGCUGACGCUGAGACACGAAAGCCAGGGGAGCGAACGGG